rnacentral:rRNA from 1 species
GCAGUCGACGCUUUGUGGUUCAACUGAUUUGAAGAGCUUGCUCAGAUAUGACGAUGGACAUUGCAAAGAGUGGCGAACGGGUGAGUAACACGUGGGAAACCUACCUCUUAGCAGGGGAUAACAUUUGGAAACAGAUGCUAAUACCGUAUAACAAUAGCAACCGCAUGGUUGCUACUUAAAAGAUGGUUCUGCUAUCACUAAGAGAUGGUCCCGCGGUGCAUUAGUUAGUUGGUGAGGUAAUGGCUCACCAAGACGAUGAUGCAUAGCCGAGUUGAGAGACUGAUCGGCCACAAUGGGACUGAGACACGGCCCAUACUCCUACGGGAGGCAGCAGUAGGGAAUCUUCCACAAUGGGCGAAAGCCUGAUGGAGCAACGCCGCGUGUGUGAUGAAGGGUUUCGGCUCGUAAAACACUGUUGUAAGAGAAGAAUGACAUUGAGAGUAACUGUUCAAUGUGUGACGGUAUCUUACCAGAAAGGAACGGCUAAAUACGUGCCAGCAGCCGCGGUAAUACGUAUGUUCCAAGCGUUAUCCGGAUUUAUUGGGCGUAAAGCGAGCGCAGACGGUUAUUUAAGUCUGAAGUGAAAGCCCUCAGCUCAACUGAGGAAUUGCUUUGGAAACUGGAUGACUUGAGUGCAGUAGAGGAAAGUGGAACUCCAUGUGUAGCGGUGAAAUGCGUAGAUAUAUGGAAGAACACCAGUGGCGAAGGCGGCUUUCUGGACUGUAACUGACGUUGAGGCUCGAAAGUGUGGGUAGCAAACAGGAUUAGAUACCCUGGUAGUCCACACCGUAAACGAUGAG